rnacentral:misc_RNA from 1 species
CAGUUCUCUUGUUUUUCAGACAGUUCUCAGAAAUCGGAACUAGAAAAACAAAUUCUGCAAAUCAUUUCUUCCUUUCUUCGAGACUUUUCCUGUCCCGAGCAUGGAUUUGCAGCAUGAAGAUUUGUUGAUCAGGCUGAGAGGCAAGCUAAAUGAGGAGAAAAUCAAACUAUGGGAGCCACCAUACGCCCAGCCAAACGGAGAAGUAUCUCCGAGUCUGCAAGACCUCGCCAAGAAAUAUUCAUCAGAGCUCUCUCUCAACUAUGAAGUUGUAUUCAACGCGUUGCAUGAACUGCAGCUGCAUUCGUUGGACCGGUCUAAAGCCAACACAGAGUUCAAGGAAACGGGCCUGGCUACCUUUCGGGUGAAGGCUACAGUUCCGGGCAACAAGCCGAACAUGCUACGAGUGCAGAAACGACUGGACAUUCAGGGCAGCGAACUGAUUAGCACUGUUGCUAAUGAAUUGGGAGUCACUGAUGACAGACUUAAGUUAAUUUUCAAUGGGAAGGUGAUAAAACCCACACCAAGUUUGGAUGAGCAAGGAGUCAAGAAUGGAGCUCAAAUCAUGGCUCUUGUUAUGGCUGCGGCCCCCGAGAUUGUGAAGAAGGAAGAUAACAUGUACAUGGAGAUGAAGGCGACCAGGGAUGACGCGCAGCUGCUCUCCGAGUACAUCGAUGACUUCGCUGAUGAUGACGAGUAUAUGAAACUAGAAGACCAGUCAGGCAACACAGUGGAGCUCCCACCAGCAGAGCGCAAGUCGCUCUUGGUGGGUCUGGCGCUGCACGAGCGAGGUCGCGCGGCCGCCAGACAGCGCGACUACUCCCUGGCGCUGGUACUCUUCCUAGAAGCCGAUCGGCAGUUCAAUGAAUGCAGAUCGUCGAUCCUGAAGACUGUGGACAACUGGGCGGUGCUGCAGCUGGACAUAGCGUGGUGCUACCUGUGCCUGCAGUCGCUGUCAGCCGCCAGCGACGCGGCCCACCGGCUGCAACGAGCAGAGGACUCCUUCACCGCCAGCUAUGGCCAGGACCAUCAGAGGCUCAUUGCUCUGAAGGGCACUGCUGCUAACGAGCGCGUUCUGAUAAUGCGCCUGUACCUGCUGCAAGGAAUCGUGGCGUACCAUCAGAACAAACGAGCCGAGGCACUGAGGUUGUUCGAGAAGGCAGAGGUUGAGUUGAACGCGCUUAGGGUGGACGAGAACUCGGUAUCCGCGCUAACAGAGCUCGGCUGGUCGCGCGGCCAAGCGCGAGCCGGACUCCGAGCGGCGGGGGGGCAGCUGGACCGCGCGCACCACUACCUGCACAGCAAGAGGCAGGAGCGGGACCAGGCCCGGGACCAACACAAGAUGGAUCGACAAAAGCGUCUUCUGGGCGUCUGCGAAGACGGCAGUCCGGUGAACCCUAAGCUGGUAGAGGCCCUGGUGGGGAUGGGGUACUCGCGCCGGCUGUGCAUUGUGGCGCUGCGGAACGCGAACAACCACGCCGCCGAUGCCGUCAGGCUCAUACAGGAGCAGCCUGAACUGUUGGCAGACAGCGAGAUGUCAUCUGAUGACACGGCGACGCCUAGUUCCGAUGAAUCUCUCGUCGAGCCAGACAACAGGCUUGUUGCUGAGCUGGAGGCGAUGGGGUACGCGGCGGUGGAGGCGCGCGCGGCGCUGCGCAUGCGCGGGAACCGCGUGCACGACGCCGUCGACCUGCUGGUGGCUGGCGGGGGCCGCGUCACUGACGAUGGGGCAGGCAACCCGUCCACAAGCACAGGCACCAGCGACAAGAAGAGAUCGAGAAAACAUAAGAAGGAUAAAAGCAAGCGCCGCGAGCGCGAGCUGGCGCUGGCGCGGCUGUCGGCCGCCAUCCGCGGGGAGGAGGACGAGCACCUGCACUCCUCGCUGCAGGAUGAGGAACACUUCCUGGCGCAGUACAAGAGCCUGCUCUAAGGUGUCGUCGUAGCACCGAUCUCCACAGAUUUUCCACAAAUGGUAUCAACUUGGCUGGACAAAGGAGUGCUGAGGAUGCCCAGCUCAGACAGUGGAGGUGUCUGCAGGAAUC